rnacentral:rRNA from 1 species
AAGGUUGACCUCGGAUCAGGUAGGAUUACCCGCUGAACUUAAGCAUAUCAAUAAGCGGAGGAAAAGAAACCAACAGGGAUUGCCCCAGUAACGGCGAGUGAAGCGGCAACAGCUCAGAUUUGGAAUCUGGCCUUCGGGUCCGAGUUGUAAUCUGGAGAGGAUGCUUCUGGCGCGGUGCCUUCCGAGUUCCCUGGAACGGGACGCCGGAGAGGGUGAGAGCCCCGUACGGUUGGACACCUAGCCUUUGUGAAGCUCCUUCGACG